UACGGGGGGAGCAAGCGUUGUUCGGAUUUACUGGGCGUAAAGGGCGCGUAGGCGGUCAGCACAAGUCAGUUGUGAAAUCUCCGGGCUUAACUCGGAAAGGUCAACUGACACUGUGCGACUAGAGUGCGGAAGGGGCAACUGGAAUUCCCGGUGUAGCGGUGAAAUGCGCAGAUAUCAGGAAGAACACCCGUGGCGAAGGCGGCUCUCUGGGACGGUACUGACGCUGAGACGCGAAAGCGUGGGGAGCGAACAGG
rnacentral:rRNA from 1 species